rnacentral:lncRNA from 1 species
CAAGUAUAGUUUCCAAAAUAUACAUACUAUGUAUAGUAAGAAAAUACUUACCGUAAUCUGCAAUAUCUCAAGAAUCUACUAUGGCAUCAUAUCUCGUAAAUAAGUGCAUGACGUCCACAAUCACAUAAUCUCGCAUAAGCAAUCAUAACAUAUCGAGUGCUCAAAAUCUUUUGUAGCACACAAGUUGGAGUCGCCUAAUGCGACCUGUAUGACU